GCCCGGGUGGCGGAACGGCAGACGCGGAGGUCUCAAAAACCUUUGUCGAAAGACAUGUGGGUUCGAAUCCCACCCCGGGUACCA
rnacentral:tRNA from 1 species